rnacentral:rRNA from 1 species
GUUGUCGUGUGAACAGCAGGACACAUGAACAUCGACACUUUGAACGCAAAUGGCGGCCCUCG